rnacentral:rRNA from 1 species
GAUGAACGCUAGCGGCAGGCCUAAUACAUGCAAGUCGGACGGGAUUGGGGAGCUUGCUCCCCAUGAGAGUGGCGCACGGGUGCGUAACACGUAUGUAACCUACCCUUGUCAGGGGGAUAGCCUCUCGAAAGAGAGAUUAACACCGCAUAACAUUAUUGGAUGGCAUCAUUUAAUAAUCAAAUAUUUAUAGGACAAGGAUGGGCAUGCGGGGCAUUAGCUAGUUGGUAGGGUAACGGCUUACCAAGGCUACGAUGUCUAGGGGAUCUGAGAGGAUAGCCCCCCACACUGGGACUGAGACACGGCCCAGACUCCUACGGGAGGCAGCAGUGGGGAAUUUUGGACAAUGGGCGCAAGCCUGACCCAGCCAUGCCGCGUGCAGGAUGAAGGCCUUCGGGUUGUAAACUGCUUUUGUACGGAACGAAAAGACUCUGGUUAAUACCUGGGGUCCAUGACGGUACCGUAAGAAUAAGCACCGGCUAACUACGUGCCAGCAGCCGCAGUAA